AUCUACAGCCAUGCCACCCUGAACAAGCCCAAUCCCAUCUGGUCUCGGAAGCUAAGCAGGGUCGGGCCUGGUUAGGACUUGGAUGGGAGACUGCCUAGGAAGACCAGGUGCUGUAGGUG
rnacentral:rRNA from 1 species